rfam:Nitrincola nitratireducens strain AK23 contig000027, whole genome shotgun sequence.
UGGUUCUGCGCGUCUAUUAACCAGCAACCCUUGGGUUGUGAGCAUAUUGUUAAGGAGAUUCAAAUGGCGUUAAGCGUUGAAAAGAAAGCAGAAAUCGUUGCAAGUUAUGCGCGUGCAGAA